GACGAACGCUGGCGGCGUGCUUAACACAUGCAAGUCGAGCGGUAAGGCCCUUUCGGGGGUACACGAGCGGCGAACGGGUGAGUAACACGUGGGUGACCUGCCCUCAGCUCUGGGAUAAGCCCGGGAAACUGGGUCUAAUACCGGAUAUGACUCCAUGACGCAUGUUGUGGGGUGGAAAGCCUUGUGCGGCUGAGGAUGGGCCCGCGGCCUAUCAGCUUGUUGGUGGGGUGAUGGCCUACCAAGGCGACGACGGGUAGCCGGCCUGAGAGGGCGACCGGCCACACUGGGACUGAGAUACGGCCCAGACUCCUACGGGAGGCAGCAGUGGGGAAUCUUGCGCAAUGGGCGAAAGCCUGACGCAGCGACGCCGCGUGAGGGAUGACGGCCUGGUGUAACU
rnacentral:rRNA from 1 species